AUGGCGUUUUGGGCUGCCGCCAACGUGAGCAAAACAGCUGCCCGAUGCUUGCGGGCGCGAGGCCCCGGGUUCCCUGCGGCUUCUCGGUUCGCCUCCCACCCAGAGCCUCCGGGCUACGGCCCUGUUGCGGGCAAGAAGCUGCACCUUACCGCGGCGGCCCUCGCCGGGCACAACAAAUGGUCCAAAGUCCGGCACAUUAAGGGUCCCAAGGAUACAGAAAGGAGUCGCAUCUUCUCCAAACUCUGUCUGAGCAUCCGCCUGGCGGUUAAAGAGGGAGGCCCUGACCCUGAGAGCAACAGCCACCUAGCUAAUAUCCUAGAGGUGUGUCGCAGCAAGCAUAUGCCCAAAUCAACAAUUGAGGCAGCGCUAAAAAUGGAGAAAACUAAGGGCAUUUAUUUGCUGUAUGAGGGUCGAGGCCCUGGUGGCUCUUCUCUGCUCAUUGAGGCAUUAUCUAACAGUGGCUCCAAGUGCCAGUCAGACAUUCGACAUAUCCUGAACAAGAAUGGGGGAAUAAUGACAGAAGGAGCUCGUCAUUCUUUUGACAAAAAGGGGGUGGUUGUGGUUGGAGUGGAAGACAGAGAGAAGAAAGCUGUGAACCUAGAGCGUGCCCUGGAGCUGGCAAUUGAAGCUGGAGCUGAAGAUGUCAAGGAGGCUGAAGAUGAAGAAGAAAAGAACCUUUUUAAAUUUAUUUGUGAUGCCUCUUCACUGCAUCAAGUGAGGAACAAGCUGGACUCUCUGGGCUUAUGCUCUGUGUCCUGUACACUGGAGUUCAUCCCCACCUCAACAGUGCGACUGGCUGACCCCGACCUGGAGCAGGCUGCUCAUCUCAUCCAGGCUCUUGGCAACUAUGAGGAUGUGAUUCAUGUCUAUGACAACAUUGAAUGACCAGGACAUAUGUGCUUGUGGGCUCCUUCUUAGGCAAGGGACAGCUCAUUCUAUAGCACAGGCAUCUGCAGCAAUCUUUGAGACUGAAGCAGUAGUGGGAAUCAAACAGAGUGUCUUGGCUGAGUAUGGUGGCACAUGUCUGUAAUCCCUGUGGCUCGGGAGGACAAGGCACGAGGAUCACUAACUCAGCAAUGGCAAGGUGCUAAGCAACUCAGUGAGACCCUAUCUCUAAAUAAAAUACAAAAUAGGGCUGGGGAUGUGGCUCAGUGGUUGAGUGCCUGAGUUCAAUCCCUGCUACCAAAAAAAGAAAAAAGAAAAGAAAAGCGAAGUGCCUUGUGCAUGCUAGGUAAGUAUUCUACCACUGAGCUAGAUCCCUACCCUAACAACGCCUGACAGUAUGCUUCCUUUGUUAAAGGCAAUUACAUCAAGGUGGGACAAGUGUGUGGAUGAAGAAGUACUGGAUGCUCUGAGAGCACGUCAGAGGGCCUUAACCCAGACUUGGAGUUAUGUGUUUGGGAAGGCUUCCUAGAGGGAAGCUAAGGAAGUUUAGGCUAAGUUUUUUUCCUGAAAAAAUGAGGGGUGGGGUGCAAAAUACACAUUGAGAGACUGUUACACUAAGUAAUCCAAGUAGACAGAUUGAAGACAUGGUCAAGAUUGGUGGUGAGGGAAGGGAAAUGGGGAGCAAGAGCUCAUUGAUAACUCAGGUAUUACUUGGGGAACAGAAGGUGGAAACUGGAACAAGGGAGGAAAAUGAUGAGUUCAGUUUGGAUCUGUAGAAUUGAAUUUAGGUGCCUGUGUGAAGUCCAAGGAGUGAUAUAUAUCUCAAACUCAGAAGGACCUGCCAGAGCUAGAGAGGAAGUUUGGAUUCUGGAAUUCUCAGCACAUAUGAUAAUUGCAGCAAGGGAAUGUUUGAGAUGGUUGGUUGAGGGAUCAACAGUGGAAAUGAAGCCCACUAAAAAGGCAGGGGAAAGAAAGGUAGAAGGGAAAUCAGAAGGCUUUAUCCAGCUGAAGACUCAAUAGUUGUGUUGCAGUUCAUUACAUGCACGGCACUAUUCCAAUUGCUGAUGAUAAAGCAGUAAGGUUUUACACAGAUUUUAUUUGUUGUAUUUGGAGGAAGCAAUAUAAUUUCAUGCACUAUGAAGGAAAAAUAAGGCAAAAUAUGGAAAUACAGAAUGAUGGAAGAAAGGCUAUUUUUUAAAUAUUUAUUUUUUAGUUGUAGUUAAACACAAUAUCUUUAUUUAUUUAUUUUAUUUAUUUAUUAUUUUUAUGUAGUGCUGAGGAUCAAACCCAUAGCCCUGCAUGUGCUAGGAGUGCACUCUACCGCUGAGCCACAACCCCAGCCCUUUUUAAAAAAAGUUUUAGUUGUCAAUGGAUCUUUUUAUUUUAUUUAUUUAUAUGUGGUGCUGAGGAUUGAACCCAGGACCUCACACGUGCCAGGCAAGUGCUCUACCUCUGAGCCACAACUCUAGCCCCGAAAGGCUAUUUUUGAUGGGGUGUCUAGGAAUGAUUACUCUUAAGAAUUGGCAUUUGAGCAGAUGUACAGAAACGUCUGAAGUACAGAAACGGGAAUAUCUUGGGGAAGAGCACUUCAGGUAGAACAAAUCGCAAGUGCAAAGGUCCUGAGGUAAAGAGCUUGGUAGAUUCAAAGAAUGUUACGGAGGCCAGCAUGGUAUAAGGCUGGCAGUGGUAAAAGAGUUUGGAGAGGAUGGCUGGGGUCAGCUCCUGCUGAGCCUGGUGACAAAGAAUUGGGGUUUUAUUCUGAGUGUGUUGGGAAGACAUUAGAGGGUUGACAGCAAGGAGUGGCAUGAUCUGAAUUAUAUUUAACGAAGAUCACUCUGGUUGCUGCUGGAGAAUUAUUUUGGGGGCAGCCCAGAGGAAACAGACCAGAUAGGAGGUUGGGACAAUUAUCCAGGAGAGAGAGAGGGUGUAUUUUAGUUUGGUGGCGAUGUAAAUUGGAUGGAUUCAGAUACAUUUUGAAAUGAGAGCUGAAAAUAUAUACUAAGUGUUUAGAUAUAUGUUUGUUAGGAAAACAAAGAAUCAAGGAAGCCUCUUCUUGGUUUGUACUUUAACAACUAGGAAAACAGGAGCAGAGUUUAGGGUGAAGGGGAAAAGAAUCUAGAGUUCUUAUGUAGAACAUGUUAAAUUGGAUACAUAUAUUGGACAUUCCAAGAGAAGCUGCUUCUUGGGCCUUCAGAUACAGGUCUUAGAGUGGGUACUAGAUUUCUUCUGGCAUUCAUAUAAUUUUUUAAAAAUAUUUUUUAGGUGUAGAUGGAUAUAACACAACACCUUUAUUUUUAUGUGGUGCUGAGGAUCGAACCCGGAUCCUGCCCGAUAGGCAAGCACUCAAUGUGAGCCACAAUCCCAGCCCGAUAUAUAAUUUUUUUUGUUGAUCUCAAGAUCAAUAAAUUAAGACCUGAAUCUAGGCCUCAGGUUGGCAGAUGGUGACUUCUAGCAUUGGCCUAUUAUAUGCAUUCUUAACAGGGUGAUAUUGUCCUCAAUGGGACAAAAAUUUAUUGUCAAAGUUGGAAGAAAAAAAAAAAACAAACCCUUAGACUUUACAAUGACUUAUGACCUUCAGAAUUCAACUUCAUCUGACAAAAAUCUUUUUUUUUUUUGGUCGUGCUGGAGAUUGAACCUAGAGCCUUGUGAAUUUUAGGCAAGCACUCUACCAACUGAGCUACACCCCCAGCUCCAUCUGACAAAAUCUUAUUCCUUAGUGUUUAAUAUAUUUUAUUAGGAAGAGCUUAAAUUUAAUUAAGUAAUUAAAAUUUUCAGACUAGGGGCUGGGCAUGAUAGUGUAGGCUUGUAAUCCCAGGCUGAGGCAGGAGGAUCACAAAUUCUCAGCCAGUUUGGCUAGUUAACUUAGUGAGAACCUGUCUAAAAAUUUCUUAAAAAGGCGGGGGCGGCAGGGCUUCUGGCUCAGUGGUAGAGUGCUUGUCCCCCAUGUGUGAGGCACUGGGUUCAAGUCUCAGCACCAUAUAUAAAUAAGUAAAUAAAAAUAAAAGUCCAUUGACAAUUUAAAAAAAGUAACACAUAGUCUUAAAAAAAAAAAAAAAAGGUUGGGGAUAUAUCCCAGUGGUAGAGCACCCUGAGUUCAGUCCCUAGUAGCAUUAAAAACAAAUAGUUGGGAUGUAGCUCAUUGUUAGAGCUUUUUGCCUAGCAUGUGCAAGAUCCUGGAUUCAGUCCUAGACACCAUAAAUAACUAAAUUAAUAAGUUAAUUGAUUAAAAUUUUCUCCUGGCACGGAUGGAUGAUGGAAAAAAAAUAGGUUGAGAAACACUGAACUCGUGCAUGGCUUUUAGGACAGACCUGGUAUGAAUCCUGGUUCCAUCACUUGGACAUGGAACUUAAAUGAAAUGACAUGCCUGGCCUAUAGAGAAUGGCUGACAAAUGUUUCUUUCCCUUUUAUUUCCUCAUCCCAGAAGGGAGAUUAUUAUAGAGAACUCCAGUAAAUUGAGUGGUGACCUAAAUCAGGUGGGAAUAUGAACUUUAAAAACGUAUUGAGGAAAAGCAGGACAUAAGGGCUAAUUAAAUAUUAGGAAUUGGGUGUAAGAAAAAGGGAGCAGCUGAAGUAAUUCUUAAGGAAUUUGACACUCAAGGCAAGCCCCCAGUAAAGGUUGUUAGGUGCCUGUUGAAAAUGCUAUCUGAGGAAGCUUACUCUGGAGUCAUUGACAUAUUUCACUGAAAUAGUGAUCAGAGGAAGAGAGCCCACAUUAAUUGUGGCGGACUUGGAAUCGGAAGAUCUGGGUGUAUAAAAUGUUGAACAAUGAGGGGUUGGGAAAAUUAAUUAUGGUCACUAUUUUGAAAUAUCAUGCAGCCGGUACAAUUGAUUCAGAACAAUAUUUAGUGGCACAUUAGGAAACAAUAUGAAGCCAUUUUUGUCAAACUUAUGUCUGGGUAGGAAAUAGAUAAAAUUAUCUCUGGGCUAGAUAUCAAGUUUUCUUCUUUGUAGUUUUCUGUGUUUUUAUUUUUUUUUUCAAUACAAAAUGCUUUUGUUAGUUUUAAUAACUAGAAAAAAAAAACACUAUUUUCCAAAAGAACUUUUGGCGGAAUUCACAGAACGUUGUGACCCACAUCUCAGCAUUACCCCAACCUCUGGGUCCUGAGAAACGGAGAACCAAGGGUGUGGCUCCGGAGGUCUGAGACCCAGGGAAAGGGAGGCAGUGGCGAAACCUCCCUCCUCUGGGCAAGCCCCGUCUUUGCGGGGAGGACUAACUAGGGAUCGGACGCAGAGGUGGCCACACGACGCGAAGCUCAGAGCCAGACCCUUCCCUGGGGCUAACACCGGGAGGAGCAAGACGCUGGCCUCCGGAGUCGUCCGGACCACGGGGGCAGCCUAGAACCGAAGGGCGGAAGGCCCAAUGGCCCUGGCGGCCGCCUCCUAACCCCAGCCCCAGAGUAGCCGGCUGGGAACCGCGCCAGCCCGCGCGUUCGCGGAGCCUUCGAUGACUGAUGGGAGGUGGGAAUGUGGGCGGAGCUUCACACCGCAGCUGUGAUUGGAGCAGCCCACACCUCCCGGGAAGAGCUGGAGAGAGCUCCAGCUAGAGAUGCGCAGAGACUGAGGCUCGAAGUCUUCUCCGUGAUUGGCUAGCAGCACGGGAAACCGGCUAUGUUUUGAUGAUUGGCAGGCGCCAGACAUCACUCGGAAACCGACUUUGCUUGGCCAUUGGCAUCCUGAGGGAGGAGGCGGGAUUAGUUUUCGUGUGGUGCUGAUGAUUAGCUGGCGGCUGAAAGAGUUUAGGGUGUUGGGAGAGAGCCUGGGGAGGGGGGCAAUAGGGGUAGCUGACUUCCUUCUCGUUAUUGGCUGGUGAAGUGAGUG